rnacentral:rRNA from 1 species
AGUGAACGCUGGCGGUAGGCCUAACACAUGCAAGUCGAACUGCAGCACAGUAAGAGCUUGCUCUUACGGGUGGCGAGUGGCGGACGGGUGAGGAAUACAUCGGAAUCUACUUUUUCGUGGGGGAUAACGUAGGGAAACUUACGCUAAUACCGCAUACGACCUACGGGUGAAAGCAGGGGAUCUUCGUACCUUGCGCGAUUGAAUGAGCCGCUGUCGUAUUAGCUAGUUGGCGGGGUAAAGGCCCACCAAGGCGACGAUCCGUAGCUGGUCUGAGAGGAUGAGCAGAAAAAAUGGAAAUGAGACAAGGGCAAGACUCAGACGGGAGGCAGCAGGGGGGAAGAUGGGAGAAGGGGAGCAAGCCGGAUCAAGCAAUAGCGGGGGGGGGAAGAAGGCAGUCGGGUAGUAAAGACCUAUGGUUGGGAAAGAAAAGCAGCAGGAGAAGAACGCGCUGUUAUGAAGGUACCAAAAGAAUAAGCACCGGAUAACUUCGUG